CCUACGGGAGGCAGCAGUGGGGAAUAUUGCACAAUGGGGGAAACCCUGAUGCAGCGACGCCGCGUGAAGGAAGACGUCUUUCGGUAUGUAAACUUCUAUCAGCAGGGAAGAAAGUCUCGGUACCUGACUUCGACGCCCCGGCUAACUCCGUGCCAGCAGCCGCGGUAAUACGUAGGAGGCAAGCGUUAUCCGGAUUUACUGGGUGUAAAGGGAGCGUAGGCGGCGAUGGAAGUCAGAAGUGAAAGCCCGGGGCUCAACUCCGGGACUGCUUUUGAAACUGUAUGGCUAGAUUGCAGGAGAGGCAAGUGGAAUGCCUAGUGUAGCGGUGAAAUGCGUAGAUAUUAGGAAGAACACCAGUGGCGAAGGCAGCUUGCUGGACUGUAAAUGACGCUGAGGCUCGAAAGCGUGGGGAGCAAACAGGAUUAGAUACCCCAGUAGUC
rnacentral:rRNA from 1 species